rnacentral:rRNA from 1 species
UACGGGGGGGGCAAGCGUUGUUCGGAAUUACUGGGCGUAAAGGGCGCGUAGGCGGUUGGAUAAGUCAGCUGUGAAAACCACGGGCUUAACUCGUGGCCUGCAGUUGAGACUGUCUGGCUUGAGUGUGGGAGAGGAGAGUGGAAUUCCUGGUGUAGCGGUGAAAUGCGUAGAUAUCAGGAGGAACACCGGUGGCGAAGGCGGCUCUCUGGACCACAACUGACGCUGAGGCGCGAAAGCGUGGGGAGCGAACGGG